AAUCUGUUUUCAAAUAAAAGUGAUUUUUUUUUUUACUUUGUUGUUUUUGUUAUCGUGUUUUUAUUUGCUAGGAGCCUUCCUCACUAAAAAAAUAAAGAGAUAUAACGAAGAUUACGCAAAACUGAUUUUUUUAAAAGUAAAGAUUGCAUACUCUUGUUUACGUCAAUGGUUUCGUUGGCUUUUGCUUAUGUCCAUGAAGAUGCCAUGUCGUUUGUAGGUAUUUAACUUUAAUGUAAAUGGAAGUGACUGAGAAGUGUAGUGUGACUGACUGAGUUAGCUGUUACUUUUGUAUAUUUCAGAUCUUGUGCGGGCAUUUUCUAGAAAGGUGCUUGUUAUUGGUGCCUUUUGAAGAGUACUUGGAGCUUGAUAUCUUGGCAGGGCGACCUGGUACGGCGUCCAUUUGCAAUCCGGUGUCUGCAGCGAUGGCGUCUGUCGCUUUCUCUUUGCAUGUUUGUAGAAUAGCAAAAACUGAGCCCUCAAAGUUUUAGACAAAAAAUGAGGCAAUCGGAGAAAAAUGGGAUUUAUUUAGGGUGGUUGACCAUCACCGGUAUGCCAGCGGCAAAAGCAUAGAGAAAUUAGGUUCAGCCAGUACGAAGAAUGGAAAAGGGCCAAACAUACCCCUCUACUAUGAAGAAUGAGGCCAGCAGAGUGAAAAAGGGAAUUCUUGGAGGGUGGUAUGCCCCUCUAUUUGGCCUAUGAUUUCCCCAUAAACAAAAUUAACAACCAUCUUCGGAAGUGCUAGUGGUGAAAUUGAACAAGGGGAUGAAAGAAGUGAAGAUACAUGAUCCACUAAGGAGGAUUGGGUUAAUUUCUUGGAAAAUUGAAAACUUGUGUGUUCCACCUCUUGAAUGGUCAAACAUUAUCUUGAUAUUUUGCUUUUAUGUAUAUUUCUUGACCUCUUGGAUUAUUAUUUUGGUAUGAUGUUGGAUCUUGUAUUAUUAUUUUGGUAUGAUGUCGGAUCUUGAAUUAUUAUUUUGGUAUAUAUGAUGUGGGAUCUUGGAUUA